UGCGCCUUCAAAAAGUCAUUGUUACGAUAUCUCAAAACCUUCGAUCAACAAUAGUAACUAGAUUUCGGGUCGGUGCAUAAAAUCCGUCUCGUCAAAUAACAGCGCACUUGAAAUGUGAGCUCUUAUUUUGUUUAGUUCACUUCAAACACAGCCAAUGUCAACCCGUCUCACAAUACCGCAGUGUGUAUUCAAAAGUUGCAAAAAUAAGGCCCGAAAAAGCAAUUUAACGGCCGGAGUAUCUUACUUUCGCUUUCCUAGCAAUCACGUGUGCAGAAUGGAUCUCGAUUGUCGCCAGAGAAACAAGAGAUGACUUUUAUAAGCCAGCUAAGAACUCCGCUUAUUGACAAUGGACAUCUUUGCCUUCCGUGCUCACGGCUACUGAAAUGUGGCCGAAACAUUGUAAUAAAAAUACCACGCUUGAAACCGUUUAAA